GUACUUACCUGGACUGGAUCAAUGGGUGAUCAAUCAGGCCCAUGGCGUGGGUCGGUGACCCCCAUUGCACUUAGGAGGGGUAAUGUCCUAAGGUCUCCCCAUUGAGGGAGAGCAUACGUCGUAAUUUGUUGCAGUGGGGCCUGCGUUUGCGCGGCCCCACU